rnacentral:rRNA from 1 species
UACGAAGGGGGCUAGCGUUGUUCGGAAUUACUGGGCGUAAAGCGUGCGCAGGCGGCUUCUCAAGUCAGGGGUGAAAGCCCAGAGCUCAACUCUGGAAUUGCCUUUGAGACUGAGUGGCUUGAGUACGAGAGAGGCGAGUGGAAUUCCCAGUGUAGAGGUGAAAUUCGUAGAUAUUGGGAAGAACACCGGUGGCGAAGGCGGCUCACUGGCUCGUAACUGACGCUCAUGCACGACAGCGUGGGGAUCAAACAGG